rnacentral:lncRNA from 1 species
UGGCAGGAGGUAGGAGAAACCUCUAACGGGCGGGGCCCGCCCGUCAGUGGCCUCGCGAGAGGAGCAGCACCCACGCGCGACGCGGGAAGCUCUCGGGCCGACUUGGGCCGUGGCCAAGCGGGCCAGCCGCGUUAGCACAGUGCUGCUUUCUUUUUUUUCUUUUUUGUUUAAAAAUGCUUGAUGUUUGAAUUUGUGUAGAAAAAAUUGUAUACUGAUCCAAAAAUGAUGAAAUUUUUUGAGUAGGUUCUAUAAGAUGAGUAGAAUGCAGGAAAAAUACUAGGUUCCCUUUUCUGGCAAUUUGUAUGUAUGUAAAAAUUGUAUCCUUUAAUUAGUAAAUAAAAUUUCUAUGAAUUUUAAUAAUUUAUUGAUAUGUCCAAAAAUCACCAAAAUUUAUGGGAUGCCUCUGAAUAUUAUUCC